rnacentral:tRNA from 1 species
GGGAAUGUAGCUCAGUGGUAGAGCACUUGCCUAGCAUGUGCAAGGCCCUGGGUUCAAUCCCCAGUAUAUCAA